rfam:Sarcophilus harrisii ctg7180002413722, whole genome shotgun sequence.
GGGAAACGGGAUGAGGGGCCCAGCCCCAGGGCCCAAGGCAAAAAAUAUGUGGGGCA